GGAGGGAGUCAGUUCAGCGUGUCCUGGGACUAGAAACAUUUGCCAGAUGUGUGUCAGAAACACAUGGUCUCGGGCUGGGCCCCGGACCUGCCGAGUCGGAAUCUGCACUUUUAAGAGGAGCCCAGCAGCCUUUAACACAGUGAAUGCAAACACCCAGAGGCAGAAGUCAAAGUAUCUAUCUACUUCUGAUAUUCAGUCUGGAAGCCAAGUGGCCCGAUGGAGGAUUGGGUGAGGUCAUCUUGUACUGACUGUAGAGAGCAGGCCCCUGGGAGAGCUGACCCUAGGCUGGUGAGGGAGCUGACAGGCUGGUGAAGGGGACUGGCAAGGCAACUGAUGACAGUCCAGUGUGAUCAGAGCCAGGGUGAAGACAAGCUGGCCCGGGGAGUCCAAGCUGGGAGCCUGCACUAGCCCUUCAGAGAGGCUGCCCCGAGAGCCCAGGGGAGAGUGAGACCUUUCCAGGUUGAGACAGCAGGUGCAGAGGCUAAGAGGCACCGAGCCGCAUGGCAAACGAGGGAAGCAGGGAUGUGAGAGGAGCUGAGGCUGGAAGGCACGGGGCCCUGUGCUGGGGUCCUCUUGCAGGAAGUCAGGACUCUGACCUUGUCAGAAAUUUGUAGGGAACCAAAGGUCCCUAUAGUCAGAGCUAUGGUUUUUCCAGUGGUCAUGUAUGGAUGUGAGAGUUGGACUAUAAAGAAAGCUGAGCGCCGAAGAAUUGAUGCUUUUGAACUGUGGUGCUGGAGAAGUCUUGAGAGUCCCUUGGACUGCAAGGAAGUCAAACCAGUCCAUCCUAAAGGAGAUCAGUCCUGGGUGUUCAUUGGAAGGACUGAUGCUGAAGCUGAAACUCCAAUACUUUGGCCACCUAAUGUGAAGAACUGACUCAUUGGAAAAGACCCUGAUGCUGGGGAAGUUUGAAGGCGGGAGGAGAUGGGGAUGACAGAGGAUAAGAUGGCUGGAUGGCAUCACCCACUCAGUGGACAUGAGUUUGAGUAAAUUCUGGGAGUUGGCGAUGGAUAGGGAGGCCUGGCGUGCUGCAGUCCAUGGGGUCGCAAAGAGCGACUGAGCGACUGAACUGAACUGAUAGUUUGGGGUUUUCCAAGUGACUCAGUGGUAAAGAAUCCACCUGCCAGUGCAGGAGACAAAGGAGAAACUCGGGUUCCAUCCCUGGGUCGGGAAGAUGCCCCUGGAGGACAGAGGAGCCUGGUGGGGCUACAGCCCCUGGGGCUCCAGAGAGUCGUACAUGACCGAGCAUGCACGCACUGAUGGUUUUAAGUAGGAAACUGAGGCUCAGAGAAGAGGCGGGCCUGGCCCAGGGCACUUCCAACCGUUCAGACCUGCGAGGAGUCAGGAGCUCCCAUCCACGGUUUUGUUUCAAUGCCUUGGGCUGUCACUGCAGGAUUAUCUCAGGUGAAAACAGGCUGCUACCACCAGCCCAGGUUCCGGAUGCUCUGACCUGGGGGAUGCCAGGCCCCGCCCCUCAUGUCCAGGCUCCGCCUCUCAUGCCCCGCCCCCCAACUGAAGAGUCUGAUCAGACUGAAAGGUCUCUGCCUCCCUCUCAUCCCUUCCCUUCUGGUUCCCCUCUUCGGAGUCUGGAGACCAAGGCAUGGAAAAGGAGCUGUUGCUCUCAAAAAGCGGCUUUGACAAUCCCGCUCCUCCCAUAGGCGGUCAGAGAA
ensembl:lncRNA